rnacentral:rRNA from 1 species
UACGGAGGGUGCAAGCGUUGUUCGGAAUCACUGGGCGUAAAGGGCGCGUAGGCGGCUUUAUAAGUCGGGGGUGAAAGCCUGUGGCUCAACCACAGAAUUGCCUUCGAUACUGUAGAGCUUGAGACCGGAAGAGGUAAGUGGAACUGCGAGUGUAGAGGUGAAAUUCGUAGAUAUUCGCAAGAACACCAGUGGCGAAGGCGGCUUACUGGUCCGGUUCUGACGCUGAGGCGCGAAAGCGUGGGGAGCAAACAGG